UACGUAGGGCGCAAGCGUUGUCCGGAAUUAUUGGGCGUAAAGAGCUCGUAGGCGGUUUGUCGCGUCUGCUGUGAAAACGCGAGGCUUAACCUCGCGCCUGCAGUGGGUACGGGCAGACUAGAGUGCGGUAGGGGAGACUGGAAUUCCUGGUGUAGCGGUGGAAUGCGCAGAUAUCAGGAGGAACACCGGUGGCGAAGGCGGGUCUCUGGGCCGUUACUGACGCUGAGGAGCAGAAAGCAUGGGGAGCGAACAGG
rnacentral:rRNA from 1 species